ACAGCUAUUGCAGGAGAGAAGCGUUCAGUACGCUCGCCGAAGGAGCAAAGCCUCAGGAAACUCUCAGGCAAAAGGACUGCAUAGCUGAA
rnacentral:ncRNA from 2 species